GAUGAAGAACGUAGCGAAAUGCGAUAAGUAAUGCGAAUUGCAGAAUUCCAGUGAGUCAUCGAAUCUUUGAACGCACAUUGCGCCCUUUGGUAUUCCGAAGGGCAUGCCUGUUCGAGCGUCAUUAUCACCCCUCAAGCCCUCGGCUUGGUGUUGGACGGUUUGGUGGAGGCCCCCUCGGGGGCUCCUGCCCCUCCCAAAGACAAUGACGGCGGCCUCGUUGGACCCCCGGUACACUGAGUUCUUCACGGGACACGUAUCGGACACAUGGGUUUACGGGACACGGUCUGCCUCCCCUCAGGGAGAAUCUUUCUAAGGUUGACCUCGGAUCAGGUAGGUAUACCCGCUGAACUUAAGCAUAUCAAUAAGCGGAGGA
rnacentral:misc_RNA from 1 species